rnacentral:pre_miRNA from 1 species
UUAAUACUCCCUCCGUCUGAAAAUACUUGUCGGAGAAAUGGAUAAAAAUAGAUGUAUCUAGAAUUAAAAUACAUUUAGAUACAUCCAUUUCUCUGAUAAGUAUUUCCGAACGGAGGGAGUAGUAU